GCCGGGUGCGGUGGCGCGCGCCUGUAAUCCAAGCUACCGGGAGGCUGAGGCUGGCGGAUCGUUUGAGCUCAGGAGUUCUGAGCUGCAGCGGACUAUGCCGAUCGGGUGUCCGCACUAAGCUCGGUAUCGAUAUGGUGCUCCUGGGGGAGCCCGGGACCACCAGGUCGCCUAAGGAGGGGUGCACCGGCCCAGGUCGGAAACGGAGCAGGUCAAAGCCCCCGUGCCGCUCAGUAGUGGGAUCGCGCCUGUGAAUAGACGCUGUAGUGCAGCCUGAGUAAUACAGCGGGACCCAGUCUUUU
rnacentral:SRP_RNA from 1 species